GAUGAACGCUGGCGGCGUGCCUAAUACAUGCAAGUCGAGCGAACGGACGAGAAGCUUGCUUCUCUGAUGUUAGCGGCGGACGGGUGAGUAACACGUGGAUAACCUACCUAUAAGACUGGGAUAACCUCGGGAAACCGGAGCUAAUACCGGAUAAUAUUUUGAACCGCAUGGUUCAAAAGUGAAAGACGGUCUUGCUGUCACUUAUAGAUGGAUCCGCGCUGCAUUAGCUAGUUGGUAAGGUAACGGCUUACCAAGGCAACGAUGCAUAGCCGACCUGAGAGGGGGAUCGGCCACACUGGAACUGAGACACGGUCCAGACUCCUACGGGAGGCAGCAGUAGGGAAUCUUCCGCAAUGGGCGAAAGCCUGACGGAGCAACGCCGCGUGAGUGAUGAAGGUCUUCGGAUCGUAAAACUCUGUUAUUAGGGAAGAACAUAUGUGUAAGUAACUGUGCACAUCUUGACGGUACCUAAUCAGAAAGCCACGGCUAACUACGUG
rnacentral:rRNA from 1 species